rfam:Brassica napus, WGS project CCCW01000000 data, contig: 19618
GGAAUAUAAGAACUCGUCUCUUAAUUUUUAACUAAAAAAACUAAGAACCGGCUCUUAAAUAAGAGUUUUAAGAGACGGUUCUUAGUUUUUUUAGUUAAAAGUUAAGAGAUUGGUUCUUAUAUUCC